AUAUUAAUGUUCAAACGGCUGAGCGGAAUGCCGAUGGUGAGCCGCUAAAAACACUCCGCAGCUAUAGACUGUUUAACUAUUCGUCUCCAGCGUUAGGUGUUCACAUGGGUCUACGGCAUCCAGGAAACGUCAAGGUUAAUGAUGUUAUAUACGUUGAGGACAAGUGAUAUUGAAGCUCUUUUACUUUUAUAUGUAUACAUUCUGCUUAAAUUCACUUAAAUCAUAUGCACAUAAUAAAAGUAAAUAAUUAGUU